CAGAGCUCAGAUAUGAGAGUUGAGAUUAAACAUCAGAUAAACCACAACCAGAAACCAGCAGCAGAGAAAAGGAAGGAAGUGCAAGACACACAGACAGAACGAGAGAAGAAAUCAACCAAGAUUGGAAAUGUUCUUAUGUCAUGAGCACAGCGCUGUAGAAAUCUCCUGAAUAUAUCUAGCUGAAUAUCGAAGGGGAUCAAAAAGAGACUAGAAUAUGGAAAACGAUACAUUCAGAUGGAAGCUGGAUGCUGACCGACUGGAGAUGAAGGUCAGAUUUUCCAUCUUCAUCAUCAUUAGUGCGUGUGCAGGUCUACCAGCUCUUGUUUGGUCUGUCAGUGAUCUACUUCAUCACCGAAAGAAUGGACACCGUAUAUCAGCCUUCAUCAUCCUCCUCAUCCUCACUGACUUUGUUGAGCUUCUCUUGAGUCCCUACAUACUGUUAAAACAUCUCUUAGAUGAGAUCACCUGGAAUGCAGAUUGGACAAUUUGGUUUUUUUCAUCUUUAUGGUCAUCUUCAAGAGACUGUGGUAUUCUCUUAAACCAGCUGGUGGCGCUAGAGGGGAUUCUCUCAGUGAAAUAUCCACUGUAUACUGCUUCUGUUUUCUCUUCACCCUGUUUCAUUAUUUUCUACAUACUUGUAUUUCUCUGUAUCAUUAUCUGGAGAAUUUAUUUAUUUGUUCGAAGAUAUUAUUUAUUUUUUAUUAUUUUUGUCUUCAUCGUGUCAGUGAUCACAUGGAUAAUAUCUUGUAGAGCUUCAUGUUCUGCUGAUCGUCACUCUCACACAUCCAGGAAACCAGAUCGUCAUAUUUCGAUUGUUUUCAUAUACACUCUGCUGGUGCUUUAUCUGCCCUUUAUUCUAAUCUUAUUUUUCAUGUCUAUUUUAUACUUACGUGAGAUUAAUAAUGUUUUUUAUAUUCCUUGGUUGUUGAUGAGUGUGAGACUGAUUUCAGAUCCUCUUCUGUGUGUGUUGGUCUGCAGACAGAAUCUCAGAAUUCAAACAUCACUAAACACUGAAGAGACGAGUUUAGUCUGAGGAGGUCUGUUAAGAUGGGCAGGUUGUGAUGUCAUGAUAUUUUGACUAUAAAGCUCAGUUUAUUAAAAUAUUUGGUCCCACUUUAGGCAUCUUUAACUACUAUGUAUGUACUUACAUCCAAAAAAAAAAAAAAAAAAAAUGUGGGACACCGUAAAUGUUUGAGACAGGUUUUUCUGCUUUAGUCAGGUUUAAGGGUGGGUUAAAGUGUAGGAGUAGGAUCAACAGUAUAAUUAAACUGUAGUUGUAGCUACAGAAAUUAAUUACCAAUGUAAUUACUUUUUUUUUUUUUUUUUAAUGAGUACAGUGUAAAAACAUGUUUGCACACAGUAAGUACAUUGCAUCAAAUGAUUAAUUUAAAUGCAAGUUAAAUACACAAUAUAAAGUGGGUCCAAAAAGUUCUAUAUAGGCAUAUGCUCUUGAGACAACCAUAGGCUGUAAAUCAAAACAAUUUGACAGCACAGAGUCAGAAUAAUGUGAACUUCAUCUACAGUUGAAAAACAGUAAUAUAUGGCGGAUAUGUAGUCUCUCUUUUAUUUUACUGUACACGAAUACAUUGCAUUCUAUAAUACGUGGAAAUAUUAUAUGCAAAAAUAAAGCAACAAAUAUUUUGUAUUUUCUUUAAUCGUCACUUUUAUAUUUCUUUUUUUUUUUUACAGUGUAAUCUUUCUGUCUGUCAGAGUAUUAUGCAACCAUAUACUCUUUCCCCACCAAUGUUUUUGAAUAUUAGCCCCCAUAAUAUUUUGUUGUAUGAAUAUCUGAACAUGCAAUACAUCAAAAUAAAGAACAGACCCUCUACUUUUAAACAAAACAAAAAUCUCUUUUAUUCUAGCUUCAAGCAUUAUUUUUUUUUAUCAACACUUGAAUAUAGGUAGGUUUCAGAAAGAAGCAACAUUUUGAGCAAAAAGCUGAGAAAAUCACAUUUUCAUCAAAUACUACAUCUGGAUCAUAUUCAGUAAUAUUAUCAAAGCGAAGAUGCAGUAGAUGGCUUCCAUCAGCACUCCUAAAGCUUGCACAGGCCUUUACCACUUUCUGCACUUUCUGGAUCUAACAUUAGGCAGUUUUCAUUUAUAUGCGGUUAGUGUUGAUGAACGCAUUAUUUUUCAUAUGUACAUGCUUGCAUAUGAGAUCGCUUGAUCGGCGCUUUCUAGACUCAUUCAGGAGAUGCGUAAUAACGCCCCGAGCGUAGAACAGCAUGAAUGUGGAAACCCGGAAAAUUCCGUGUUUGGCGGAGAAAGAGUUCAAGUUCAAGUCAAGUUGAGCUUUAUUGUCAUUCCGCUACAUGCGGGGCAUACAGUGGAACGAAAUGUCGUGCCUCACAGGACCACGGUGCUACAUAAAUACAGGCAUACAGCAAUGAAGUAAAACAAUAUAAACCUAUAUAGGGCUGUAACUAACGAUUAUUUUAAUAAUCGAUUAAUCUGUCGAUUAUUUUUUCGAUGAAUCGGAUAAAAAACAAGAAAAGCAUUCAUUUCCAACCCUUUAUUCAAAAACAGAACUAAAAUCUUUAGAAAGUGCACAAACAUGUUGCUCCUUUAACAUCCCUGAGCUGUUAUAAUAAUAAUAAAAUAAAAUAAAAAUGGACUAACACAAAAAACAUACACAUGUAUGCUUUACAUCUGCCAAAUAUAUAGACUUCUUUUUUUUUAAAUAAAGUGCCACCUGAGCUGCCAGAACAAUAAAUAAUUUAUAAAAAAUAAAGAACAAUACAAAUCAGAAAAUUUAACAGGAUUUGUUUGAAUGUCAGAACUUGUUCUCUACACUACACUGCAGACGCACACACUCGCAGAUGCACACACUCGCAGACACACACACUUUUGCAGACGCACACACUCACAAACUCUCACACUGACACACACACACACACACUUACUCUCUCUCUCUCUCUCUCUCUAAGUUCACUUGAAGCUUAUUCAUUAAAUUAUUACCAUCAUUGUAGUAAGUGCAAGGUUCAUUUAUACACCACAUUUAAACACAGCUUAAGAUGACCAAGUGCUAUAAAAGAACUUUAAAAUUAAAUUAAAAAGUACAACACACACAAAUAUAUUUGUCAAUAAUAACCUAUAUGGGACAAAGCACAGAAUAUACACUGCAAAAAAUGCUUUUCUGACUUAGUAGUUUUGUCCUGUUUUCAGUCCAAAUAUCUAAAAAAUCUUAAAUCAAGAUACAUUUACUAGACACAUGAAAUAGCAUAAGAAAUUAUGUCUUGUUUUCUGAAAAAAACACCUCAAAAUUAAGUGAUUGUUUGCUUAAAACAAGCAAAAUUAUCUGCCAAUGGGGUAAGAAAAAUAAUCUUAAUGAUAUAUAAUCUCAAACAGAAGUUUUAAGCAUCACUUAAUUUUCUCAUGCCAUUUUUCUUGUCUAGUAAUC